rnacentral:lncRNA from 1 species
GGGGUCUGAUGCCCGAGUUCACACAGGAAGCCAAUGCAAGAGCAGCAGCUUUUCUCCUGGGUCUCACAUUGGCAUUUGGACAGCUGAACCCAGCUUCCUGCACUCUGAGCUCAAGCAGGACACAGAGACACAUUCAUUUGGCCAAGGGAUGGUGACUCCAUGAAGAUAAGACCAUUGGCUCUCUAUGAGAAAAAAAAAAGUUUUUCUCAAAUGCAGGAUAUGGAUCUGUCAUAAAAAAGAUUUUAAAGAGAUGAAGAGGAGGGAAGAAAAAUUAUUACAAAAAUUGUUAAAGGUAAUACAGUUAAUAAUCAACAUGUAUAUUUCAAUUCCACUUUUAUUGAAUAUAGAAAUCUAUCAAAGUCGUAUUUACUGUAGCUGAAAGGGG